CAGCGACGGGAAAGGAGUUUAGUGACGCGUGGCUGAUUGGGGGGGGGACAGCUUUUGUUGUUGUUGUUGUUGUUACUGUUACUGUAUUAUUCUCGGCAUCCAUUGGGUAUGGAUUUGAGUAUGGAUCAGAUAUGGGGGGUGGGGGUAGAUUUCCCAAACCACAUGUUGUUAGUUUAAAUGGUUUUUGUUGCGAUCAUCAAAUAUUUUCAAGGAUCUUCCUAAUAAAGUGAAACGCCUGAAGCAGAAUCUGGGCAAAAAGAUAGAUCGGAAUGUCUACUUUUAUGAUUAAAUUAAUUUGUUCGGAUAUGUAUGCGCGGUAUAGUAUGUUUUACCUGAGCAUGUUUACGCAAAAGCAAGCCAAUUCCUUUAAGGGCUUUAUUCGCUGGCCUGAGUGUUUAGGAUUGGGAUAUGAGCCACUUUGCCCGCAUCUUAGAGUGAGUGUCUGGGGUGAAUGCCGGGACACAGCUCUGCUAAGGCCUCUCUUGCUGUUCAUACUGAGGAAGAUGGAGUCAAAAAGCCUUUCACCUGUGUCUUUGCUCCUAUGGGAAAGUGAGUCACUCACUAUGCCUAUGUUGCUUGGCCCUUCUAGUUUUGUUAAAAAAUUGCGGCCCACCAGGUUCUUAAGCACCCUUAUAUGGAAGCUGAUAUUCAACCAAUUUCUAACCUCCCCUUCUUGGGCAAGAUGUUGGAGAGUGUAGUGCAGCCUCAGCUCCAGGCAGCCCUGCAUAAAUCUGAUUACUUAGAUCCUUUCCAGUCUGACAUCCAGCCUGGAUUCAGGACGGAAACCGUCUUGGUCACCCUGGUGGUUGGCCUACACCGAGAGACAGACAGAGGGAGUUUGACUCUGUUGAUUCUCCUGGACCUCUCAGCAUUUUCCAUACCAUCAACCAUGGUAUCAUUCUGGGUCUCUCUGGGUUGGGACUUGAGGGCACCAUCGUACGUUUGCUCUGGUCCUGCCUUGAAGGUCAUACUCAGAAGGUGCUGCUGGGGGCCGCCUGCUUCACAACUUGGCUUUUGACCUAUGGGGUGCCGCAGGGAUCCAUUCCGUCCCAUUUACUGUUUAACAUCUACACGGAGUUCUUCACACAGCAGGCUUUACCACAAGUUUUCUGCGAGGCUUUACUGCGAACACGACGUUGUGCCAAAAAAAAAAAAAAAACAGAUGCAAAAAGUGGAUUGUUUUACCCCGUAUAUAAAUUGGACUGCACUUGAUUUUUUCACUCAAUGCAAUGAAAACCCAAAAUUUGUUGCAGUAGUAAUAGUGUACAGAAGUGUUUUUUACCAGCUACAGCUGGUACACCAGCUGCAACCCUACUGAAGAAGUUUGACCUGACCUUAGACACUCAUGCUUUGGUGGUCCAGACUGGAUUACUGCAAUGCAUGGGGCUGCCCUUGAAGAUGGUUUGGAAGCUUCAGCUGGUCUAGAAUGCUGCUGCUAGGAUGUUCAUGGGUGCAAGUCCAUGAGUGUUACUCCCAUCCUAUGGUAGCUUCACUGGUUAUCAGUCUGCUUCUGGGCUAGAUUCAAGCUGCUGCUCUUAACCUUUAAAGCCUUACACAGCUUGGGACCAGGGUAUUCGCCCACAUGCACUUGCAUUCGCCCACAUGCACUUGCCAGGGCCCUUCAUUCAGUAUCCUGGCCCCUGCUCAUGGCUCCUCCACUAGCUGAGAUCUGGCUGGCAGAGACUAGAGGCAGGGCCUUUUCAGUUGUGGCCCCUCAACUUUGGAACAGCCUCCCAUAAGAGCUUUGCCAUACUCUCUCUCUCUCUCUCUCUCUCUCUCUCUCUGUGUUUUCAAGAAACAACUGAAGACGCAUCUUUUUAGAGAGGCUUUUAAAUAUUAUCCUCUGCUUUUCUCUGAUAGGUUUCUUGGUGUUUAGCUUUUUAAAAUAACUUUUAAUUUCAAUUUUUAAAAUGUCUUAUUUUAAUUGUGGUUUUAGCCUGGUCGGUUAAAUGCUUGACUAACAAGCAGAAGGUUGCCGGUUCGAAGCCCCGCUGGUAUGUUUCCCAGACUAUGGGAAACAUCUAUAUUGGGCAGCAGUGAUAUAGGAAGGUGCUGAAAGGUAUAAUAUCUUACUGUGCAGGAGAAGGCAAUGGUAAACUCCUCCUGUAUUCUACCAAAGAAAACCACAGGGCUCUAUGGGCGCCAGGAGUCAAAAUUGACUCGACGGCACACCUUAACUUAUUAUCCUUAUUAAUUUUAUCCUUUAUUGUAUCUAUUUUAUUAAUGUUGUAAGAUGCCCCAAACAGUAGUGCACUGAAAGGGUGGGGUUUCAAUAUUUAUAAUAAUAAUAAUAAUAAUAAUAAUAAUAAUAAUAAUAAUAACAACAACUAAAGUAAUCCACUGAAAUGAUGGACAGUUCAAAGAGAUGCACUGAAUAUCACUAUACAGUGUGGAAAACAACCAUGCACAAUUUUCAGAGAAAUCUGCUUAACUUCUAUUGAGUUCAGUGUAUUUAAAUGCACAAUUAAGCUAUAUUCUAUUAUUCCCAUUUAGCUGUGAGCCUAAAUUUCUUUGGAUUGUGCUCUGUUUAAUAUAAUGUAAAUUCAAAGUGCCUGAAAUACAUUACAAGCAGUGCUGUUCUACAAUUGGGGGCUAUGCUGGGGGCCAGAGAUGUACGUACGAGUUCUAGUUUGCUGACAUUCAGGAAGUAAUGCAAGACUUUUCUUUUUUAAAUGACUGAUUAUAGCAGUAUAGAGUGGUUGCAUCUUUUUCAUCUUGCCUAUGUGGAUUGUUAAUUAUUCAUUAUGUCUUUUUGUUAUGUACAUGUACCCAAAUGCUUUUGGGCAAUUUUAUUGUAAACCUAAAUAAUGCAUUGAGUGAAUCUUUUGUAAAUUCAAAUCUUAAGAAUAAUGUAUGUGGUUAUUCCAACUUAAAUAACAUGCAAAGGAAAAUAAGUUAAAAGUUGAAUUAAAUGAAUUACCCCUGCUAACUGGGCAAAGAGACACCUUUUAACAUGGUGAUUCUCUUUAGGGGGAGAGUAGGUGGCCCUAUCCACCUCCAGAACAGUACUUCCAGUGACUGUUGCUGGUGUCUUAUCUUAUGUUUCUUUUUAGAUUGUGAGCCCUUUGGGGACAGGGAUCCAUCUUAUUUAUUUGUUAUAUCUCUGUGUAAACCACCUUAAACCAUUUUUGAAAGGACAGUAUAGAAAUAGAAUUAAUUAAUGGAUUGAUUGAUUAAGUAUGCUAGAUAAUUAAACAAAGCCUGACAUUAUAUUGCAUAUCACAAUAGAUGCAUUAAAGAUUAAAGGGAAAUAUUA